rnacentral:rRNA from 1 species
CCCUUAGACGUUCUGGGCCGCACGCGCGCUACACUGACGAAGGCAACGAGCUUUCCUUUACCGAAAGGUACGGGUAAUCUUUUGAAACUUCGUCGUGCUGGGGAUAGAUCCUUGCAAUUUUUGAUCUUAAACGAGGAAUGCCUAGUAAGCGCAAGUCAUCAACUUGCGUUGAUUAUGUCCCUGCCCUUUGUACACACCGCCCGUCGCUACUACCGAUUGAAUGGUUUAGUGAGGCCUUCGGAUCCGCGACUCGUUUGUGGAGAAGUUGGACAAACUCAGUCAUUUAGAGGAAGUAAAAGUCGUAACA